UACGUAGGGUGCAAGCGUUUGUCCGGAAUCAUUGGGCGUAAAGCGCGUGUAGGCGGUCAUAUAAGUCUGUUGUGAAAGUCGGAGGCUCAACCUUCGAAAGCCGAUGGAUACUGUAUGACUUGAGUACGGAAGAGGAGAGUGGAAUUCCUGGUGUAGCGGUGAAAUGCGCAGAUAUCAGGAGGAACACCAACGGCGAAGGCAGCUCUCUGGGACGUAAACUGACGCUGAGACGCGAAAAGCGUGGGGGAGCAAAACAGG
rnacentral:rRNA from 1 species